rnacentral:rRNA from 1 species
GACGUAGGGUGCGAGCGUUGUCCGGAUUUAUUGGGCGUAAAGAGCUCGUAGGCGGCUCGUCGCGUCGACCGUGAAAACCCGCAGCUUAACUGCGGGCUUGCGGCUGAUACGGGCGGGCUAGAGUUCGGUAGGGGAGACUGGAAUUCCUGGUGUAGCGGUGAAAUGCGCAGAUAUCAGGAGGAACACCGGUGGCGAAGGCGGGUCUCUGGGCCGAUACUGACGCUGAGGAGCGAAAGCGUGGGGAGCGAACAGG